ensembl:lncRNA
GGGGCCCGGUCCCACCCCGCCCUGCCCGCCAGGGGCCUUGCCGGCCCUUUCAAGCAAUAGGGUCCCGAGGGGAGACCCACCCCGAGCCCCCUCCCCUCCCCUCCAGGGUGCCCCCGGCUUUCUCCCAGCAAUAGGGUCGACGAGACCUAGAACCGAACCUCAUCUCCGAGUUGGGUCUCUGAAGACGGGGGUGAAGUGAGGUAGGGAGCGCCCUCCUUCUCCCGCCUCUGCGCCCCUGGAUCGCGUCGCAGGGACUCAGGUCUUCCCCACCCCUUCCCAAGCCUUCUAGCGCCAGGCCUGCGGCCCAGACGUCCAGGGAGCCGGCCCCUCCCCAGCAGCAGGCCGGGGCGGAGCAGGAGCGGGCGCGCCUGCAGGGACGCCCCUGGCUCGCGGUCUUCGCGGAACUCCCGGGUGUGUUAGACGCGUUGGGGGUCGGGGAGAGGGGCGGACGGCGGCACCCCCUCCCUCGGGUUGCUUCUGGGGCCUCAGUCGGAGCCGCCCUCCUACCCUCGCCUCGCAUCCUCUGCCAAAUCCGAAUUCUUCCAGCCCAGCUUCCCGGGCUCUGUCCUCCAUAUCGAAUAAUAAUGACACAUAUCGAAUCGCAUGGACUUAUCCGACCUCCUCAGACCCCGCUUCCGCCCUGCCCCGGGCCCCCACACCCCCGUACCCCGGGCAUUCGUGUUGGAGGACGGAUUCCCGGGGCCGGCAGGCAGGCCUGGGCGCUGCCCUCUACACACCUCUGUCUUCGCUUUGCGGGUAAAGCCCCCUGGGGGGGUUGCGGACGCGUCGGGUUUCUUUCUUUCUGUAUUUGUACGUUUUAUUUAUGAACGGAUUGCACUCGGGUCAGGGAGGGGGCGCUGAACCCCCAUCUUGCCCGCCGACGCCGGGGGCUUGGAAUGUCCGGGAUUACUUUCCACGCCCCGAGGCCCGCCCCUAGCUGGGAGCCUCUAGGGAGCCUCAGGCCCCGCCUCUCCGAGGCAGGCCCCUCCCCUGAGACCCAGGCCCCGCCCCCACUCGGUUGCCAACUUUCGCCCGUCUAUGCCAAAGCCUCGGCGGCGACCCUGCCCCAAGGGCCCGCCCCAUUGGCCGCCGCCUUUGUGACGUCACUGCAUGCAGCCCCACCCCCUCCUCCCGACCCUACGCGGGGCUGCCCGCUCCCCCUCCCUCUUAGGUAGUCCGUUGCCGACUAUAGAGCAAUAAUGCGCACUGCAUGCGAAGCUGCCGCCGCCUCUAGAGUUACUGAGAAUCAGGUAUCCCCUCACCCUACCCACCCCAUAGGCCCCUAGAUCAGGGACGCUGCGCGGAGCCGGCCGCGCAGACUUUCUCCCCACCCCUCCCCGACCCCCACGGCAGAGCCCGGCGGCUGUAAUGGUUCCAUGGGCGGGGGUGGGGUGGUUGCACCCAAGACCCCUCCUUCAGUCAUUAAUCAUUCUCUGACCGUUCAUUGAGCACCUACUAUGUGCCAGGCCAAUUGCUGAGUCCGCCAGGAAUGCAGCCAGCUACUGGGAGGUGUGUUUGCAGGACAGGGGUCCAACCGGCUUGGGUGGGCCAGGGAAGAAUGGCAGAUGCAGAGAGACCAGGUCCCUAGGCUCAGAUGCCCCCCACACUCCUCCCCACCUCAACCAGUCCCUGCUGGGCACAACUGGGCUCUACCUUUGACUUAGCCUUUUGGCUCCAGCCGAGGGGAACAGAUCCAGGGCUCCUGGGCCCCCACACAGGUGGCCACUUCUCUGAUCCUCUGGCAAACACACAUCUGCCAUGUCCAGCCAGGGGCAGAGCCAUGGCUGGAGAAGAAUGUGCCAGCUGUAGCCUAUGGUGUGGCCAGCCUCACCCCCAGCAGCAAGCGUGGCUGCCUCCGCAGGGAUGACCCGCCGCUCUGCAUAGCAGUGCCCACAUCCAAAUACCCUACACAACCAGGCGUGGUGCCUGCACAGCUCCCAAGCUGGGGCCUGCCCACCUGUGCCGCAUGCACACGCACACACAGGCGCCCCCAUCCCACCCCACCCCAUACUCCUGUCUACCUACCUAAGGAGAAAGCUGGAGGGCUGUGGGCCCAUCAGGGUCUCCUGCUUCCCCCUACACCCCACCGCCGUGGAAAGCCAUGGGCCCCCUCCCGCCCCCAUAACUAAGCAGCACAAUAACCGACUUAGCGAAUUCAGGUAGAAGGAACGUUUAGGUAGCACCUAUUUUGUACUGAUUCUACAAGUAGGGCCCGAGGUGCGGGGGCCCUCGGGUGGGGCUGCGGCCGGCCGCCGCCCCACCGCCUCGCCCCCCGCCGCCUUGUACAUAUUCCCACCCGGAAUAGGCCGGGAUUUUUACUCGGGCCGUGCCCCUCUUCCGCCCCCAUUUGGGGCCAGGCCGGCCGGACAGACGGACGGACGGACAGACCUCCUUCCUAAGCACAAUAGCACCAGCUCCCCGGAGCGCCGCACCUCCACAAGGAGAAUAAAUGCCACUCU